rnacentral:rRNA from 1 species
AAUAGCCUAACGGCUGAACCAGCAACUUGGAAGAAUGUAUAGCUAAGCUAAAUGUUUUUUUUUACAAAAAACAUAUUCGAUUUAUUCGUAUAAAGUUCUAGGUAGAGUUAUGAUAAUGACAUUCUCUAUCUAUAAGUCUUGACAAACAUGCGUGCCAGCAGUCGCGGCAAGACGCUAAAGACUAGUGUUAUUCAUUUUUAAUAGGUUUUAAGGGUACCUAGACGGUAAAUUAAGCCUUAAUUGGAACUAAUUUAACUAGAGUUACAUGUAAGGGUGCUGUAACGUACUAUUGAGUGUAGAGAUGAAAUUCUGUCAUACCAGAUGAUUGGCACGGGUUUAGGCGAAAGCAUCACCUUAUGUAAUAACUGACGUUGAGGGACGAAGGCUUUUAAUGUAAAAAGGAUUAGAUACCCUCGUAGUCAAAGCAGAAAAUGAUGAAUGUCAUAGAUUAGAUAUUAUUUAUUCUAUAAAUGAAAGUGUAAGCAUUCCACCUCAAGAGUAAUUUGGCAACAUUGGAAUUGAAAUCAUUAGACCGUUUCUGAAACCAGUAGUGAAGUAUGUUGUUUAAUUAGAUAGUGCACAAAGAACCUUACCACAACUUGAAUAUUUUACAAGCGUUGCACGGCUGUUUUUAGUUAAUGUCGUGAGAUUGUGGAUAGUUCCAUUAAUUAACGUAAACCCUUACUUUAUUUUAUUUUAUAUAAAGUAGUUCCCCCGUUAUAUGGGUAAGAUAAAAGGGAGUAAGACAAGUCAUCAUGGCCUACAUGUUGU